rnacentral:rRNA from 1 species
UACGUAGGGUGCGAGCGUUAAUCGGAAUUACUGGGCGUAAAGUGUGCGCAGGCGGCCGCGCAAGUCGAGUGUGAAAGCCCCGGGCUUAACCCGGAAAGGUCAGCCGAUACUGCGGGGCUAGAGUGCAGAAGGGGCAACUGGAAUUCUCGAUGUAGCGGUGAAAUGCGUAGAUAUCGAGAGGAACACCUGCGGCGAAGGCGGGUUGCUGGGCUGACACUGACGCUGAGGCGCGAAAGCUAGGGGAGCGAACGGG